GACGAACGCUGGCGGCGUGCUUAACACAUGCAAGUCGAACGGAAAGGCCCUGCUUUUGUGGGGUGCUCGAGUGGCGAACGGGUGAGUAACACGUGAGUAACCUGCCCUUGACUUUGGGAUAACUUCAGGAAACUGGGGCUAAUACCGGAUAGGAGCUCCUGCUGCAUGGUGGGGGUUGGAAAGUUUCGGCGGUUGGGGAUGGACUCGCGGCUUAUCAGCUUGUUGGUGGGGUAGUGGCUUACCAAGGCUUUGACGGGUAGCCGGCCUGAGAGGGUGACCGGGUAGAUGGGUCCGGUGAGGCCGACUGGACUGCGGGGGGGGGGGGCGGCGGAGAGUAUGGAGCAGCGGCGGGAGGCGGGGGGCGGCGACGCGGGGGGGGGGAGGGGGGGCUGGGGGUUGACCCCCGGUUAGGCUGAUGACGGGGGGGGAGGGGGGGUAAUGAGGAAAGGAGCGCCGGGUAACGACGUGCGAGCGGCCGCGGUAAGAGUGGGAAGAGAAGACUUCUGCAC
rnacentral:rRNA from 1 species